AGGCAACGCCUGCCCAGUGAAUAUUCAACGGCCGCGGUACCCUAACCGUGCAAAGGUAGCAUAAUCAUUUGUCUAUUAAUUGUAGACCGGCAUGAAUGGCAAAAUGAGGGUCCAACUGUCUCUUAUAGUAUAUCCAUUAAACUGAUCUCCUAGUAAAAAAGCUAGAAUAAUAACAUAAGACCAGAAGACCCUGUGAAGCUUAAAUUAAAUCAUUAAACUAAAUAAUGAUUACUUUCGGUUGGGGCGACCCUGGAAAAAAAAAGAACUUCCAAUCUAUGAAUACAUACAAUAGGCCCACAAGCCACAUAUGACCCAGUAUAACUGAUAAUUGAACCAAGUUACUCCAGGGAUAACAGCGCUAUCUUCUUCAAGAGCCCAUAUCAAAAAGAAGGUUUACGACCUCGAUGUUGGAUCAGGACACCCCAAUGGUGUAGCCGCUAUUAAAGGUUCGUUUGUUCAACGAUUAAUAGUCCUACGUGAUCU
rnacentral:rRNA from 1 species